CUAAAACCAACCAAUCCAUUUCUAGACUCUGUUAUUUGCAGACCCAUUUGCCCAAAUCAGGCAAUGGAUGCUCAUGGAUUCAAGAUAACUCCUUGUGCCACAGUGUUUCUACCUCCGUCGAGUGUUAUCAAGGUUCCGUUUGUCAUGCGUUACCCACAAGGCCAGCACAAGUUUCCACUGUGGAGGAUCUUUUUGAAUUCAUUUGCUCAGGUCCCUUGAUGGAAAAGUUGGGUAUGAGCCCUGAAAAUGUGGCCAAUGCCAUUGAUAAAUGGCUAGCUUAUGGCUCUUAUCUUUGUCGAUUGUUCAAAGCUAACGAAAUGGAGCUCACAAUUCCUCAGAAAGCAAGAUUUUAUCAUUACUAUAUACCCGUCUUUCUUUGGUGUGAAGACCAGAUUUCUCAAUACCAUUCCUCAUUUAAAGAAGGAGAAGAAAUACCUCCCUUUGUGAUAGGAUUUAGUGCUCCGCAAGGUUGUGGAAAGACGACACUCGUGUAUGCUCUCAAUUAUCUUUUUGAAGUAACAGGCAGGUAGGCUGCGAUGCUAGUACUUAUACCAUAACGAGAGCUGACCAUCUGCUGAAGCAGUGAUAAGACUAAAUAAUGGGCAAACUAUAAUUUCUGACUGAAGUUCUAUCUCAGGAAGUCUGCUAUGUUAUCCAUUGACGACUUCUAUCUAACGGCCAAGGGGCAGGCACAACUGAGGAAAAGCAACCCCGGAAAUGCACUUCUAGAGUUUCGUGGAAAUGCUGGAAGUCAUGAUCUCGAAUUGUCAGUUGAAACACUCACAGCCCUAUCCAAGUUGACCAAGGAAGGUUUAAAGAUGAAGGUCCCCAGAUAUGAUAAAUCUGCAUUCAGUGGAAGAGGUGACAGAGCUGAUCCUUCUACUUGGCCAGAGGUUGAAGGACCACUGACAGUCGUCCUAUUUGAAGGCUGGAUGCUUGGCUUCAAACCGCUCCCGACAGAAGCUGUCACAGCAGUCGAUCCACAGCUCGAGACAGUGAAUAAUAAUAUGAAAGCGUACUACGACGCUUGGGAUAAGUACAUAAAGGCGUGGAUCGUGAUCAAGAUAAACGACCCCAGUUGCGUUUACCAUUGGCGUCUGCAGGCAGAGAUUGCAAUGAGAGAGGCAGGAAAACCCGGGAUGAGCGACGAAGAGGUUAGAGAUUUUGUUUCACGUUAUCUGCCAGCCUAUAAGGCUUAUCUUCCCACGCUGUACUCAGAAGGGCCAAGUGGGUCAGAUCCAAAGCGUUUGCUUGUGGUUGAAAUUGAUGAAGAAAGGAAUCCAAUUCUUGGUUAUUAGGUGGAGAUAAAUAUGAAGUUAAAAGUUGGUUUUCUCAGCUUUCACAUGUUCUUUGACCACCUUUUUCUACCCGCUUAUGUGGAUACCACUUGCCUACUUUAUUCAAAAGGAGGAGCUCUUACUUAUUCAUUCAUUUGUAUCAAUCUGUUUAUGUUGUAUGUAAUAAAUCAAGUGGGUUUGACUCAUACUACAUGAGGGAUUAAGUAGGAGCUUUUACUUGUGGACUGUACAUUACUUUUCAUCGG
rnacentral:misc_RNA from 1 species